UCGAGGAUCUUCGGCAAUGGGCGCAAGCCUGACCGAGCGACGCCGCGUGUGCGAUGAAGGCCUUCGGGUUGUAAAGCACUGUCGAGGGGGAGAAAGGCCGCAAGGCGUGAUCGACCCCUGGAGGAAGCACGGGCUAAGUUCGUGCCAGCAGCCGCGGUAAGACGAACCGUGCGAACGUUGUUCGGAAUCACUGGGCUUAAAGGGCGCGUAGGCGGGCGGUCAAGUCAGAGGUGAAAUCCCACGGCUCAACCGUGGAAGCGCCCCUGAUACUGAUCGUCUCGAGGGAGGUAGGGGCGUGCGGAACUUCCGGUGGAGCGGUGAAAUGCGUAGAUAUCGGAAGGAACACCGGUGGCGAAAGCGGCGCGCUGGACCUCUACUGACGCUGAGGCGCGAAAGCCAGGGGAGCAAACGGGAUUAGAUACCCCGGUAGUCC
rnacentral:rRNA from 1 species